UACGGGGGGGGCAAGCGUUGUUCGGAAUUACUGGGCGUAAAGGGCUCGUAGGUGGCCAACUAAGUCAGACGUGAAAUCCCUCGGCUUAACCGGGGAACUGCGUCUGAUACUGGAUGGCUUGAGUUUGGGAGAGGGAUGCGGAGUUCCAGGUGUAGCGGUGAAAUGCGUAGAUAUCUGGAGGAAUACCGGUGGCGAAGGCGACAUCCUGGACCGGCAUUGACGCUGAUGAGCGAAAGCUAGGGGAGCAAACGGG
rnacentral:rRNA from 1 species